CGUGUAGGCGGCUCGGAAAGUCGGGUGUGAAAGCCCUGGGCUCAACCCAGGAAGUGCAUUCGAAACUCCCGAGCUGGAGUUCUGGAGAGGAAGGCGGAAUUCUCGGUGUAGAGGUGAAAUUCGUAGAUAUCGAGAGGAACACCGGUGGCGAAGGCGGCCUUCUGGACAGCAACUGACGCUGAGACGCGAAAGCGUGGGGAGCAAACA
rnacentral:rRNA from 1 species